rnacentral:rRNA from 1 species
UACGUAGGUGGCGAGCGUUAUCCGGAUUUACUGGGCGUAAAGUGGGCGCAGACGGUUUUGUAAGUCAGAUGUUAAAUCUCUCGGCCUAACCGGGUGGGUGCAUCUGAUACUGUGAAACUAGAGGACAACAGAGGGAGGUAGAAUUCCCGGUGUAGUGGUGGAAUGCGUAGAUAUCGGGAGGAAUACCAGUGGCGAAGGCGGCCUCCUGGGUUGUUUCUGACGUUCAUGCCCGAAGGUGUGGGGAGCAAACAGG